rnacentral:rRNA from 1 species
GAUAAACGCUGGCGGCGCACAUAAGACAUGCAAGUCGAACGGAAGUCGUUACAAAAUGAAUAGAAGAUUUAUCUGAUUGAAGUUUUGUAACAAUGGCCUUAGUGGCGGACGGGUGAGUAACGUGUGGGCAACCUGCCCUGUACUGGGGAAUAAUCAUUGGAAACGAUGACUAAUACCGCAUGUGGUCCUUGGAAGGCAUCUUCUGAGGAAGAAAGGAUUUAUUCGGUACAGGAUGGGCCCGCAUCUGAUUAGCUAGUUGGUGAGAUAACAGCCCACCAAGGCGACGAUCAGUAGCCGACCUGAGAGGGUGAUCGGCCACAUUGGGACUGAGACACGGCCCAA